rnacentral:tRNA from 1 species
GAUUGAAUGGCCGAGAUUAGGCGAUAAAUUGUAAAUUUAUUUACGGGAUAUUCCCUUCUAUCA